AGGGUGAGUCUCACCAUGAAGAAAUAGCUCUGCCUGGGAGAAAGGGAUCUUUGAAGAAAAGGCUGAAAUCAAAUAGCAGAAACUCUGCAGCUGCAGUGACGUUACCUGCACGCCAUGCGUAAGGAGGCAAGUGCAUAUAAACCCGUUGGGAGAUGCCCAGCAAAAUGGCACAGAAACUAAAGCUGUGGGGAUAACUCCCAUGGAAUUCAGACUACUGGCCCCUUCCACGAGCCUGUGAGAUCUACCGAUUGAAAGCUCUCUCUAACAGAAGCUGGGGCUCAUGCUACAACGGUGCCAAGCUGAGGAUGCACCAAAACGGAGAGAAGCAGACUUGAGACACGCAAACUCAAUCCAUUUGUGACUUUUCUGUAGCAAACUCCUUUUCCCUAGGGCUGCAAGACAAAUGGUUUAAUAACCCAGAAUGCUGUGCUCUUUGCUUCAGCAAAGUUGACUCUCUGCAUUCAGCCUUAUUCACAGGUAUCUCCAACAACCUUCUGGGAAAAUGCUGAACAAACUGAGAUCACGGCUUGGAGGCCUGGGGCUGGCCUUGCAUUGUUUGCUUUUUAUUGUAAGGCUUAUCUUUCUGUGUCAUAUGGUUAGAAACUGGAGCCUUGCCUCCAAGAUAGCAGUGGCGAGGCAAGAAAAGCUUGUGCGCAUUUGUCUUCGGGGCAGUUAUAUAAAUGAGCGUACUGAUGCAGUCCUCAACAAAAAUGCAAGGGAGAAACUAUGAGUGAGAGAGAGCAAGUCCUAACUUCUUUCUCGUCAUGUGUUUUUCUGGAAAUGAAAAAUGUGAACACUGCUUUCAUGCUCUUUCACCAGAGAACUGGCUGCCUUCCAGUAAUUGUGUGAAGUGCUGGACUGGGUCCUUCCACUCUGAGACAACAAGCAUGGCCAGAGCUAACCCAGCAGGAGGUACAUUUGGAAUAUGAAACCCUGUCUUGUACUCAGUCCCCAUCCACCUCAGGAUCUUGAGGUGUCCUAGCAGUGUCAGGGACUGUAAAUGAAGCCUAUUAGAGGUAUCAAAACAUAAUCAAGUGACUAAGAAUGAGCAGUUCAGUAGAAAGAAGGUACCACAGCCCACGGAGUGUGAUGUCCAAGUGGACUGGCAAACGAGAGGUUUUUGAAAUCAAGCUGGACUCCGAGUGCUCACUCACCACUUAGCAUUAAUUCUUUUUGUGUUUCCUGAUACUAUCUCCCAGGAGCUGAUUCACUGAUGUACAGCUACUGCUUCAAGACCUGUUUAGGACAAGACAGGAAGUCCAUCCUGCAACUCCGCUUGAAGGUUUACAGAGAAACAGUGGUUUGAUGUUCAUCACAGUGCUUUAUUGUGAAGCAUGGUAAUAGCUGUGCCUUCUUCAGCAAAGGAAGGAUUGCUUUUACCCAGUUUUAGCCAUGCAGAAGUUUAAGGUGUCUAAGCCAAUGAUCCAGCCCUCCUCUACAGACUGUGAAGAGAAACGAAGGCAUCUCCAGAGAAUGAGUCACUUUUUCCUAUGCGCAGUGUCUACAGUGGGUGGGAUGACUCAUCCUCCAAAGGUAACAGUCUCUCCUUCUGUGGCUUAACUGACUAGUUUCAACUGGAAGUCUAACUUUUUGGUGGCAGAAAUAAACCAUCUUCACUGUUACCUGUAUUUGUCUGAAGUUAUUUUUCAAAACUCAGAUGAAGGUGAGAUGACUUACUUCUCAGUAAAUGGCUCCUUCCAAGGGCCAUUUAUGUGCUUUCUCUUGGAUUAUGCACAUCUUUGUCCUUAAAAAAUUGAGAAGAAAUAUUUUGCUCAAGUUUCAUGGAGCCAGAAAAACUAAAGCCUGAUGGAAACAUAAAGAGAAUCUCUUGACCCAUCCUGACCCACCCCUAACCCACAGGCCAAAAUCUGUAGUUAAGCUUUGUUACCCUAAAUGUUUCCUCCUUUCAACAAUAUCUUCCACAGUAAGUAAGAAAAUUUCAGUUGUCUUCAACGGGCUUUCGUCCAAGCUUGAGGAGAGAGCAAUAGAGGAAAUUCAGUUGCAGGAGCAAAUCAACAGAGGGGAAAGGUAAGAACACGAGAGACCUGAAAGACAUAAUCAUGAGAGCCAGGAGGAAGAGGGAAACAAAGAGAUGCUUUAAAGAUUGAGCAGUGGAGGAACACAGAGGCUAUGCUCAGUGGAGAGAAGAUCUGUGCAGAGGCAGACGGACGAGCACAUACCCUUGAAAUACACAUCUCUCCAGCACUGCAGCAUCACUUCCAUUUGAAAAUGCCUAACUGCUCUUCAGCUUAAUCAUUGCUGCACUUUUGGGUAUAAGAUGAAUAAUUAAGCCUGGGAGUAGAAUACAGCAAGUGUUAAUAGGGCAGAAGGUACUGCAAAGUCCUUAUAAAAAGCUGUGCUUGCAGCACAAAGUGGCUGCUGUUCUCUGCAUCCCCAAUCAUGAAGUGACGAGCAUGAAAGUACUAAAUUUAAUGAAGUGCAUCUGUAUUCAUUCUGCUGGACUUUUUUCCCCCUGCUUGCUAAAUAAUACCCAGUCUCUAGCAAAGGAUGAACAAUGUAAUUCUAAAUUGUCCUUCCAAAUCAAACCAGGACAGAUAUCCUGCACAGCCCUUCCUUCUGUGUCUAUACCUAUGGACUCCCACAAGCACAGUCUUCUCCCUUGCGUAAGUUAGUGUUUAAAGAAAAUAUCUGGUGCCUUAAAGAGGCAGUUUAGUCUGAAGAGGCAGUGUUAUGCAGUUCAACCUCUUUGAUGAGUUCAAAAUUGCUUUCUGUUGCUGUCAGAACACACACAAAAAAGAAGAAAUAAAUGCUCACUCCAGACUGAGAGACAACAAUUAACCAAUGUUGAAGAAGACUCUGGGCUGGAUACGCUGCCGAAGCAUCCUGAGGUGCUGGCUCAUGCAUACAGCAAGAGAAAGCACUGCAAGGAAAAGCUGUAAGUGGAAUAAGAUGCAGCUGUUAAUCCACGUACAAUGCAAGUUCUUAUGGUUUGCUGCUCUGUCUACUCUUUUCCCCCCAAUCUGAUGAGUCAGUCUUUCCCUGAACACAGUUAUUCCUCAGCCUGUGGACCACAAGGCUAAUCAAGCAGUAGCUCAAAAGAGAGCAGUUAAUAUUUGAAUCGCCCAAAAGAUAUUCAGGGACAGUGUGUGAGGAGUGUUCAUUCCUGUGAUAGAUCAGACUGAUGUCACACUAAACAGCAAAUGCAAAGCUCCCUUUUUAGGUUUUCAUUUUCUGCAUGCAUCCAAUUAAACAGCUAUUUAACUUAAUCAAAUUACAUGGGGAACGAAGAAAGAAAGAUUGUUAUUUUUUUAAAUACUUGGGAGAUGUUUGGGAAUGGGAGGUCAUAAAGGUAAAGAGGGAGGUCAAUAAAUAGAAAGGAGGAAAUUAUUUUUAACCAUUGUAGAUAAGGUAUUUUUAGAGCAAUCACCUGAAAGCUCCCUGAACUACAUAGAAUGAUAAGCAACUGCUCAACACAGCAGCAGUAAUGGGAGAUGAGCUGCAGCCUGGCCCAGACCAACGCUCCUUGCUUCUUUCAAGUGGAUUUUGAGUGUAAUGAUUAUUUUUUUCCGCCCUUUUCCUUUUUCUUCCACCUCCUGUUCUUACUGUUAUCAAUGAAUGUGCCUCAGAGGGUCUGCCUCUCAUAUGGGCAUUUGAGGAGGUUUUCUGUUGCUGUUUAGUGGGUAUUUUCCCCCUUCUUUGGUUUGUUUUUCAUCUUUUUCUUUUUGCCUGGUCUCCUCUCACCUCUGCACUCAGUGAAAGAAUGAAGAGCCAAGCCUCCACAGGCAACCAUGUGUGAGAAGAAACAAGAGGAUGACUUCCAGAAGGGCUGGAGGACCCUGGGGCCAGAGGGAUCCACCUCUGGCUGAAACACCAUUCAGAGAGGCCACACACAGGGCAGGAAUCGGGAGCAUUGCCCCCAUCCACCAGAGUCUUAAGCAACAAAGCUCCAUAUAAUGUGUACGAUGUGAAUUUAAAACAGACGUUUUCAGAGGUAAGGGAAGAUGCCUGAGUGCCUUCCUCAAUCUGAAGUAUUUUUUUUCCCUCCCAGAUGCCAGGCUGUUGAAUGUGUCAAUAUGCUGCCACAGUUUGGAGAGCGCAACAGUUUUGGAGCCACCCUCCUAUCUGCUAUCUUAAGCUGAUCGUCUUACUGUGUCUUCCUGGCCACUCCGUUGAAAAUGAUGGUGUCUCUUCCUUCAUGGUUUUCUAGAGGAAGCAUAAUAAGAAGGGAUUUUUCUUUCAUUCAAGGAUCAAAGCAAAACAUCGAAGAUGGCAAAUGAUAAAUAUUUGACUUUGAAACAUGAAAAAGAAAGGAAGAUCAACAUCAAGGGAAUAAAUCUCUCAGGAUGUCCUGCAGUCUGAAUGUACAUUUUGUUUUGCUAAGACAGGAGUUGUGGAUGCACUGUGUAAAGAUGUGGGUUUUACAAGAAAACAGAAUCAGCCAGGAGACCUCUGGGAAAUCACAGAAUGUGUGUACGCUUUAUGGUUUGUAUAACAUUAAAAAAUGUUUUUUUCUUCGAGAUAUUGAUCCUUGUUCCAUUAUUAUUAUUAUUUAUUUAUUUUCACUCAUUUCAUUUUUCAUAUCUCUGUAUUUCAGGUUCCUUGUUUGAAUUGGUCCUAUUUAUGUGAAACAGGUUGAUAACUCUCAUCUCUUCUCUCUUAUGCUCUCAGUAAUUACAGGUCUCCAAGGAAAGCUGGCCUUCUGUAGAAAUUUUGUAAAGGUUUUGAAAGAUUCUAUUAGAAAAGAUUUGGAUCCUGCACAAUUAUCAGUUCUGAAAGGUGCUUUGCCCACCUCCUCCAGUGGAAGUGUUAUUGAUCAUCUCACAAAAGGAAGGCAUGUACUUACAGAGAGAAGAGUUGAGGUCUGGUUGCCUUUUCAACAUCAAUGAUAAAAUUGCAUCUAAUGUUCACCUCAUUCACCUCAACUCCACUGGUCUGCACUAAUUAAGGUGGAGCAAGCCGUGCUAGUUAAUAAAGAACACCGUAAUUCAGCUUGUGCUGGCCAGUGAUUGCAACGAGAGGAAAAACCCAAUAAGCAAUUCAAAAGACAGGCUUUGAUUAACAGAACUAUCUGGGGCUUUUGUUCACUGGUUGUACAGCACACACUGUAAAACCCAGCCACUAUCAAUGCCUUAGAUGUAAGAUUGAAAACACCUUCUCUCCCUUUUAAGAUGGGCUCUGCCUUCUAAAGUUCUUUAAAAUAUUGCAGAUGAUCAUCAGAAUUCUGCCUUCUAGGUUUGUAAAAUCACCUUUUUACUUGGCCACACACGCCACUGUCUUGCUCCAAGGUCCUAUACCCAAGAUGAUCACAUUCCACAUGACAGCUGACUCCUUUUGGAGCAAUCACUUUGUUCUCUCUCAGUUAAACACUAGUAUAGUUAUAGAUUUUUUUUCUUCCUAGGCCUAUUUUUUAUAUCCCUAUGUACACCAAGUUUGGUUCCCUCUGUCUAAGACAGUUCUUUGCCACUAUCAGAACAGACUUUUCUUCCUUGCAUCUCUACCAGCAAUCCUCAAGACAUGUCCUGCAAUAAGUAGCACAUCUUCUGUGCCACGCUAGCAGGGCUGCAACACAACUCCUUUGUUACUUCCACCACUUCUAGGAGAAAACCUAUACACACAAAAUAAUAUUCCAAAGCAGCUGGAAGCCAUACAAGGGCGAGACCCAAUCUUGGUACUGUGUUAUGUCUUGCCAUCGUGGCUGAUUCCCUCUAAGGAGUGUUAGGACACCAACUUUUGAAGAAUGGUUGGAAUAUCAUGGUGGGAAUUGUAAGCACAUAGAGCAAACUUACAGGUUUUUCACCCCCAACCCUGUCUGGCUCAGCACAUUACAGCUGUGUAGACAGGAGGCAGAGUAAUUAAGGAUCAUCCCUUCCUCCAAGGCCCCCCAAGAGCAGUAAGAAAGGUCUACAUAUACUCAGCAAAGCCAAAUUUUCACACCCCAUUAGUCCAGAUGAGAUGAACUUCACUUCUCGUAACCAGCUUUGCUGUUAGAGCUGACUAAAUUUUCCCCCCCAGACGAAUAGUUUUCUCUUCCAGAAAUGCAGAUUCAGCAAAAUAUAAUUUUUGUUGACAUUUUUAAUGGGAAAUUAUUGAAACAUUUCAAUUUUUUUUAGCAUUUGGCCAGUUCUGUCUCAUCUGGAAUGAAGUAAUCGAAACUCAGCAGAGAAACGCUCGCCUUUUUCGAUUUGCAAGAUUUUCCCUUCAAGAAGACUGUCCUGAGAUUCCAGAGCUGAAAUGUGAUGGGAUGUUUCUUUUAACUCUAAACUUUGAGAACAGCACUUUUAAUUUCACUUUAGAAUUUUUCCUCCUCAGAAUGAAAAUAUUGUUCCAGAAUGCUGCAUUUCUAGGGAGGGAAGGUGUCUUGUACCAGCUGAAUCAUAGAAAGGAUGAUUUGACUCAAGCUUUUUAACAAAUUAACAGUUGCCUCAACAGGACUCCCUCUUAUGCAGUCAAGGCAGAGCAGAGAGGAGUUGGUACAGGGAGCCCUGCGUGGUUUAGGCUUUUUAUAGUGUCAGAUUUCUUCACAUAAUGUAUUUUGGGUGAAGCCGUAGGUUUAUUUUGUACUUAUCUGAUGUCAGAAAAGUCUAUAUUAAGUCUUAAAAAAAGGGGCGGGGGGAGGCUUUUUAAUCAGCUUAUUACAACCUUCCGCGUAUAAUAAAGCACUUAUAUGGCAGCAAACCUGAAAUCCUACAGGAGUUUGUUGUAAAGUGACAGAUUCAGGUCAGAGCUGUUAAUGAACCGCCAGAUUGAUGUGUGAUGCAUAAUGAUGGGAGAAAUGGCAUUAUUGUUUUACAGGGGAGUGCAGAGAGGCAGAAUAUGCCAGGUCCAUUGGAACAACUGGAUACCCUGGAGUUUAAUGCUUUGCCUCUGGCCAACACCUGAUAUUUCAGAGAAAUUAGAGAUAUUCCACAACUGGUGAAUAAAGUAGCUACACAGUAGAUGAGGAUUAGGCUUCUCAACUACCUUCGCCCUGGUAGCAAACCCUGAAUUUCCCAGUCGACUCUUGAUUCUGUAAGUACAGAACACUGACAUGGGCAGAGUAUGACCAGAGCAGUGCUGCAAGAGAUUCAUUUCUUCUCUUUCUUUGCUUCUGCCACCGAGUAACUAUGUGACCAUAGGCAACUCUUUCAACGUCUACUUCUGGCUUCUUUCUUGUUUUAAACAAAUACUUUUUGAAGCACAAGUUUCACAUGUCCAUGUUAUCCAAUUGGCUCUUAUUCUAUUUCUUGUUCUAAAUUAGUUAGUCUUUAUUGUCAUUAACUGGAUCCUAUAAUAAAUGCAAAAGCAAUGCUGACCUGAGGGAAAUGCUGCUCAUACUAUAAAGAAUAUAAGAGGUUAAAAAAACACUUUGCAAAUGGAAUAUGCAGAGUGGCAAAAGCAAUGGUUCUUGUUCAACAUUUCCUGGUAAGAGAGGGCAGCAAAAAAACACCCUAAAACCAGAUAAAGGACUGGUCCACCUUUAUUGGACCAUCCCUUGAAAGCUCACUGGGAACUUUAGCUGGUGCCACAUGCAUCUUCCUCUUAAUUAGCACUUUUCCAAGGAGAUUCUUAAAAUCAGAUCUCCCUUUUAUUAUGUUUCAGUAAAAUGCCAGUGACUCUGGGGUCUUGGUGCAUGACUGAGGUCCCCUAGUGCUACAUUAGAGAUAUUAAUUCUCAUUAAGAAAUGAUGCAACCGAUAUUCACUUUGAGCAUGCAUUGUGUACUUCACUGGAUGCUCUAGGGCGCAUUGUAAGUGUUCCUGUUCCUCUUGGUCUAAAAGGCUCUGUGUAUGCUCCGUCUCAGCUCUAUAGUCUCAUUGAACCCAACACAGCCCCUGCGAUUAAAAAGGUAAUUCAGGCUAGCAAGUGGUUUUUUGAUCUUGGGACUCCUGGGCCUUUACAGCCCUGAGAUCUGGGAUUCCCUCAGAGCUCAACACACAUUACCAGUUACUGAGAACUCUGAAUUUGAGUCAAAAAUAUAUGGGCAUGAUCUUAACUCAUAUGGUUUUGAACAGUCCCUUUGACUUUCAUGCAUAUGCCCACACGUGCAGACACUCGCUACUGCAAUCCAUUGGGCUCAGCACCUUGCAGGACUGAGCCCUUCACUAAUCCUUCUAAGCACAAGUCUAUUGACUUUCAAAGCAACCCGUGAGGGCUUCUUAUCUAUAUUUCCUGAACGAGCUGCUUGCUUAGGGUGAGCCUUUUCGCAUUAGUCUUCAACCAGAGUUGAUUUUGAGCUAUGAACAUGAUUAGAUUUUUGUAUCAAGAGAGACUGAAAGUACAGAGAUGGUUCCAAGCAUACUACAAUAAAUCAUGAGUGAACUCCCUUCAUCUAAUAGCUUGUAAAAAUACAAGAUAUCAGAAUUAGUGCUUAAAUCCAACCCAACCAAUAUCUGGGUUUUGCUUUCUCAUCCUGGAAUGAAUCUGAAAAAACCCUGAGUCUAAAUGUCUUAGAGAAGUUUGAAAACCAGAUCUCAGUAGUUAGAUGUAUGACAUUUGUAUAAUAUGAUCCUGUCAUCACAUUGCUGAACAAGAUUUGGUCCUAAAUUACACCACAGCCCAACUCGGAGGGAGAUGCCACACGCUGUCAAGAAGCCUGCCCCAGAAAACACACUGAAAUAAGGAUUUUUUUUCAUCUCUAGAAUAUUUAUAUUACAGGGUUCUUUUUGCACCAAAAUCAAGUAAAGGCAUUUAUUUCAGGCUUGACUUAAACAUUUGGGAUGUCAGAAGCCUGAAAUAAAAUCCACAUGAUGAUAGCACAUUAUACAUCUUUCUCAAGGUCACUUACUAAUGCAUAUGAGAAUGGGACACUCAGGCAGCAGGAAACAUAGAUGGAAAUAAAAGCACACCUGGAAUUAUAAUUCCUGCCCUGUUGCCUCUCCUCCUCUUCACACAAUGGUCAGUCUUGACACAGAGACUCAAGACAGACUCUGGUCCCUGUUCUGUGCAGGUUUUGCCAUAGCAAGCUAGUCUCUGUCUGCCAUGGGCUUCCCUUUCCCACCUCUAAAAACGAGGCUAGCCUUGAAAACUGAUCACGUCUAUUUAAAUGACAAGCUUAUAUUAAUUCUUGUAUGCACAGGACCAAAGACAAUGAGACUUGGAUUGCAAUUGAGACCUCAAAGUAUAGAUUAAUAGAUAAAUUAAUAGGUAUCUAUUAGUAAGUUAAAAGAUAACUAAUAUAAAUACAUAAAAACUUAACUAAAGGCAUACCUGUAU